AGUUUGAUCCUGGCUCAGGAUGAACGCUGGCGGUCUGCUUAACACAUGCAAGUCGAACGGAUGUCUUCGGACAUUAGUGGCGGACGGGUGAGUAACGCGUGAGGAUCUGCCCUCAGGAUGGGGACAACAGUUGGAAACGACUGCUAAUACCCGAUGUGCCGGAAGGUGAAACUAUUUGGCCUGAGGAUGAGCUCGCGUCUGAUUAGCUAGUUGGAGUGGUAACGGCACACCAAGGCGACGAUCAGUAGCUGGUCUGAGAGGAUGAUCAGCCACACUGGGACUGAGACACGGCCCAGACUCCUACGGGAGGCAGCAGUGGGGAAUUUUCCGCAAUGGGCGAAAGCCUGACGGAGCAAGACCGCGUGGGGGACGAAGGUUUGUGGAUUGUAAACCCCUUUUGAUUGGGAAGAAGUUCUGACGGUACCAAUCGAAUCAGCAUCGGCUAACUCCGUGCCAGCAGCCGCGGUAAUACGGAGGAUGCAAGCGUUAUCCGGAAUUAUUGGGCGUAAAGCGUCCGUAGGUGGUUGGUCAAGUCAGUUGUUAAAGCGUGGGGCUUAACCCCAUAAAGGCAAAUGAAACUGACUAGCUAGAGUGCGAUAGGGGCAAGGGGAAUUUCCAGUGUAGCGGUGAAAUGCGUAGAUAUUGGAAAGAACACCGGUGGCGAAAGCGCCUUGCUGGGUCUGCACUGACACUGAGGGACGAAAGCUAGGGGAGCGAAAGGGAUUAGAUACCC
rnacentral:rRNA from 1 species